UUAACUCGUAUUAGUAUGGAGUUGGAACGUUUGCCUGCGUUUGCCGCUAGGGGCGCUGUUGCAACUACAUACAAAUUUAAAUUA
rnacentral:pre_miRNA from 1 species